AAAUUAAACUGUCAAUUGUUCUUGAACAAUUGAGAGGUCUUUCCUUUUUCAAUGUAAAAUACAUGUUCCAACAGACGUAGAAUGUAUUGAAAAGGUCAAGGUCAACCUUAAAAAGCUCGAAAACACACUAAAAAUCCUUUAAAUAAGGUUAAAAACACUAAAUUCGCUAUCUGGGACAUGACCUUGACCUUUGACCUUUUGACCUUUGUCAAGGUCAUUGGUCCCCAAUGCCAUUACUGAAGACCCCAAGGGUCUAGGACCUUUGGUUAUAUAGUAAAAGCUGAUUUUGUCUUUUCAAAAACCUAAAACAGGGGUUAUGCCCCUUAUAGAAAGGUCAAAUCUCUUUGAUCAAAAUGUAACAAAGUUGCGCCAUAAUGACCCAAACAUUUUCCAC
rnacentral:lncRNA from 1 species